rnacentral:rRNA from 1 species
UAACAAGGAUUCCCCUAGUAACUGCGAGUGAAGCGGGAAAAGCUCAAAUUUAAAAUCUGGCGGCUUCGGCUGUCCGAGUUGUAAUCUGGAGAAGCGUUUUCUGUGCCGGACCGUGUACAAGUCUCUUGGAACAGAGCGUCAUAGAGGGUGAGAAUCCCGUCUUUGACACGGACUGCCGGUGCUUUGUGAUGCGCUCUCGAAGAGUCGAGUUGUUUGGGAAUGCAGCUCAAAAUGGGUGGUAAAUUCCAUCUAAAGCUAAAUAUUGGCGAGAGACCGAUAGCGAACAAGUACCGUGAGGGAAAGAUGAAAAGCACUUUGGAAAGAGAGUUAAACAGUACGUGAAAUUGCUGAAAGGGAAACGCUUGAAGUCAGUCGCGUCCGCCGGAACUCAGCCUGGCUUUUGCUCGGUGUAUUUUCUGGUGGACGGGCCAGCAUCAAUUUCGAUCGUCGGAGAAAGGCCUCGGGAAUGUGGCACCUUCGGGUGUGUUAUAGCCUGGGGUCGCAUACGACGGUUGGGAUUGAGGAUCUCAGCGCGCCUUUAUGGUCGGGGUUCGCCCACGUCCGCGCUUAGGAUGCUGGCGUAAUGGCUUUAAACGAC